GAUGAACGCUGGCGGCGUGCCUAAUACAUGCAAGUCGAGCGAACAGACGAGGAGCUUGCUCCUCUGACGUUAGCGGCGGACGGGUGAGUAACACGUGGAUAACCUACCUAUAAGACUGGGAUAACUUCGGGAAACCGGAGCUAAUACCGGAUAAUAUAUUGAACCGCAUGGUUCAAUAGUGAAAGACGGUUUUGCUGUCACUUCUAGAUGGAUCCGCGCCGCAUUAGCUAGUUGGUAAGGUAACGGCUUACCAAGGCAACGAUGCGUAGCCGACCUGAGAGGGUGAUCGGCCACACGGGAACUGAGACACGGUCCAGACUCCUAAGGGAGGCAGCAGUAGGGAAUCUGCCGCAAUGGGCGAAAGCUUGACGGAGCAACGCCGCGUGAGUGAUGAAGGUCUUCGGAUCGUAAAACUCUGUUAUUAGGGAAGAACAAAUGUGUAAGUAACUAUGCACGUCUUGACGGUACCUAAUCAGAAAGCCACGGCUAACUACGUG
rnacentral:rRNA from 1 species